UAACAUCACCAUGUUUUUCUCGUUGGCCAU
rnacentral:piRNA from 1 species